rnacentral:rRNA from 1 species
CCUACGGGUGGCAGCAGUGAGGAAUAUUGGUCAAUGGCCGGAAGGCUGAACCAGCCAUGCCACGUGAAGGUCAGUGCCCUAUGGGCGUUAAACUUCUUUUGUGCGGGAGCAAUAAUGGUCACGUGUGGCCAGACGAGAGUACCGUACGAAUAAGCAUCGGCGAACUCCGUGCAAGCAGCCGCGUGAAUAAGGGGGAUGCAAGCGAUAUCAGGCUUUAUUGGGUUUAAAGGGUGGGUAGGGUGUGAGGGAAGUCAGUGGUGAAAUGCCCCCGCGCAACGGGGUGAAGUGCCAUUGAUACUGCCUUGCUGGCAUGCGGAUGCCGUGAGAGGGAUGUGUGGUGUAGCGGUGAAAUGCAUAGAUAUCACACAGAACACCGAUUGCGAAGGCAUCUCACGAAUCCGCGAUUGACGCUGAUGCACGAAAGCGUGGGUAUCAAACAGGAUUAGAUACCCGAGUAGUC